UGAAACCAGCCAGACUAGUCUCAGAUG
rnacentral:piRNA from 2 species